rnacentral:tRNA from 1 species
GUGGCUGUGGCUAAGUGGUAGAGUGCUCGCCUCGCAUGUGCAGGACCCUGGGUUCCAUCCUCAGCACCACA